rnacentral:rRNA from 1 species
UACGGAGGGUGGCAGGCGUUAUCCGGAUUUACUGGGUUUAAAGGGUGCGUAGGUUGAUUGGUAAGUUAGUGGUGAAAUACUACAGCGCAACUGUGGAACUGCCAUUAAUACUAUCAAUCUUGAAUACAGUGGAGGCAGGCGGGAAUGUGUCAUGUAGCGGUGAAAUGCUUAGAUAUGACACAGAACACCUAUUGCGAAGGCAGCUUGCUACACUGUGAUUGACACUGAGGCACGAAAGCGUGGGGAUCAAACAGG